rnacentral:SRP_RNA from 1 species
GAUUGGGUCCUACGCGGGCGGCCCCCGUGAACCCCGUCAGGCCCGGAAGGGAGCAGCGGUAAGCGGACCGGUCGCGGCGCCGUAGGGAAGCCUAGUCGGU